rnacentral:rRNA from 1 species
GAUGAACGCUAGCUACAGGCUUAACACAUGCAAGUCGAGGGGUAACGAGAGGAAAGCUUGCUUUCCUUGUCGACGACCGGCGCACGGGUAAGUAACGCGUAUCCAACCUGCCCCCAACUAGGGAAUAACCUUGCGAAAGUAAGACUAAUACCCUAUAAUUUCCUCAGAUGUCAUCUGACGAGGAAUAAAGAUUUAUCGGUUGUGGAGGGGGAUGCGUCUGAUUAGCUUGUUGGCGGGGUAACGGCCCACCAAGGCAACGAUCAGUAGGGGUUCUGAGAGGAAGGUCCCCCACAUUGGAACUGAGACACGGUCCAAACUCCUACGGGAGGCAGCAGUGAGGAAUAUUGGUCGAUGGGCGGAAGCCUGAACCAGCCAAGUAGCGUGCAGGAUGACGGCCCUAUGGGUUGUAAACUGCUUUUAUACAGGAAUAAAGUUAGCCACGUGUGGUUAUUUGUAGGUACUGUAUGAAUAAGGACCGGCUAAUUCCGUGCCAGCCGCCGCGGUAA